rnacentral:tRNA from 1 species
UCCCCGGUAGCUCAGUUGGUAGAGCGAGCGGCUGUUAACCGCUUGGUCGCUGGUUCGAGUCCGGCCCGGGGAGCCA